UAGGUUGAACCCCCUACACUCUAGGUUGAAUCCUAACCCCCUACACUCUAGGUUGAACCCCCUACACUCUAGGUUGAACCCCCUACACUCUAGGUUGAACCCUAACCCCUACACUCUAGGUUGAACCCUAACCCCUACACUCUAGGUUGAACCCUAACCCCUACACUCUAGGUUGAAUCCCCUACACUCUAGGUUGAAACCCCUACACUCUAGGUUGAAACCCUAACCCUACACUCUAGGUUGAACCCUAACCCCCUACACUCUAGGUUGAACCCUAACCCCUACACUCUAGGUUGAAUCCCCUACACCCUAGGUUGAAUCCCCUACACUCUAGGUUGAAUCCCCUACACUCUAGGUUGAAACCCCUACACUCUAGGUUGAAACCCCU